rnacentral:rRNA from 1 species
GCACAAGCGGUGGAGCAUGUGGUUUAAUUCGACGCAACGCGAAGAACCUUACCUGGGCUCGAAAUGCUAUGGACCGGGGUAGAAAUAUCCCUUCCCCGCAAGGGGCCGUAGUAUAGGUGCUGCAUGGCUGUCGUCAGCUCGUGUCGUGAGAUGUUGGGUUAAGUCCCGCAACGAGCGCAACCCUUAUCUUCAGUUGCUACCAUUUAGUUGAGCACUCUGACGAAACCGCCUCGGAUAACGGGGAGGAAGGUGGGGAUGACGUCAAGUCCUCAUGGCCUUUAUGUCCAGAGCUACACACGUGCUACAAUGGCCGGUACAAACCGUCGCAAACCCGUGAGGGGGAGCUAAUCGGAAAAAGCCGGCCUCAGUUCGGAUUGUAGUCUGCAACUCGACUACAUGAAGCUGGAAUCGCUAGUAAUCGCGGAUCAGAACGCCGCGGUGAAUACGUUCCCGGGC